UUAAGCAUAUCAAUAAGCGGAGGAAAAGAAACUAACAAGGAUUCCCCUAGUAACUGCGAGUGAAGCGGGAAAAGCUCAAAUUUAAAAUCUGGCGGUUUCACCGUCCGAGUUGUAAUUUAGAGAAGUGUUACCCGUGCUGGACCGUGUACAAGUCUCCUGGAAUGGAGCGUCGUGGAGGGUGAGAAUCCCGUACAUGACACGGACUACCAGGACAUUGUGGUGCGCUCUCGAAGAGUCGAGUUGUUUGGGAAUGCAGCUCAAAAUGGGUGGUAAAUUCCAUCUAAAGCUAAAUAUUGGGGAGAGACCGAUAGCGAACAAGUACCGUGAGGGAAAGAUGAAAAGAACUUUGGAAAGAGAGUUAAACAGUACGUGAAAUUGCUGAAAGGGAAACGCUUGAAGUCAGUCGCGUUGUGCGGGAUUCAGCCUGGCUUUUGCUUGGUGUACUUCCCGUACAAUGGGUCAGCAUCAGUUUCGGUCGGUGGAUAAGGGCGUAGGGAAUGUGGCAUCCUCGGAUGUGUUAUAGCCUUGCGUCGCAUACAUCGACUGGGACUGAGGAACUCAGCACGCCGCAAGGCCGGGUUUUUAACCACGUUCGUGCUUAGGAUGCUGGCAUAAUGGCUUUAAUCGACCCGUCUUGAAACACGGACCAAGGAGUCUAACAUGCCUGCGAGU
rnacentral:rRNA from 1 species